rnacentral:lncRNA from 1 species
UUUACCGGAAGUUCGGGCAAAUCCCUAAGUACGAUCCGGAAGUCCACCACCUGUUUUUGACACCCAACUUAGUACACCAAUUUCACAUAAUCAGGCUCAUAAGCGACGCCGCACCUACGCACAAACUCAAACCCCGCCGCGGGUUACAUCUCUCCCUACACCCACCAAACUGCAGCGGCGCUGCUUAAUAAUUUCAUAACUUUAAAAUUAUGACAGCAGUGGUAACAAACAAAAACUCCAGAGGCAUCUACAUAAAAUUCCCCACAAGUUUUGUAUACAAUUAAUAAUUAAAUUCCAAUAUCUAAUUAGCCCAAAACAGUCCACAAGAUGAACCCUGUAAUCUGUUUUUUUCUUUGUCUUUUGGAUAGCGACAUACCCGGAUUCAAACAGCGAUAUCUUUUAAAAUAUAAUUCCAAAUCAAGCGCAUAAGUACUCAUUGGAAAGAUAAGACAAAUCCCUACAUAAUUAUCAUACUGGUUAACACUAAUUACCCACGAAAAAUUCCCAGAAACUGCUAAUACCACUGCUGUUCACCCGCCUGAAAAAUCUGUUUUUUUUGACAACAACAUAACCGGAUUCAAACAACGAUAUCUCCUAAAUUAUAACUCCGAAUCGAGCGUAUAAGUACUUGUUGAAAAGAUAACAUAAAGCCCUACAUGAUUCUCAUACUGAUUAACACUAAUUACUCCCGAAAAAUCCCCAGAAACUGCUAAUACUGCUGCUGUUCAUCCCCCUGAAAAUCUGUUUUUUUGGACAGCCACAUACCCGGUUUCAAACGGUGAUAACUUUUAAUUUAUAACUCCAAAUUGAGCGCAUAAAUACUCAUUGGAAAGGUAUGCCAAAGUUCUACAUGAUUCCCAAACUGAUUCCCCUUAAUUCUCCACGAAAAAUGCCCAGAAAUCACUAAUUCUGCUGCUGUUCGUCCACCCCCUUAAAAUUCUGGACAGCCCUUCUACCAAAUCGCACACGCAACAUCUAAACAAUUGGAUUGCCGCAUAAAAUGAACAAGAGAUAAACACAAAAAUCACCUUGGGUUCUCCCCCUUUUCUUCCUCCCUUCCUCCCUCCACCGAAAACCGUUGAAGAUUUGCACCACUCAACGGAGAUCCGAGCGGCAACGAAUGGCACCAUGGGAGGAGGAGAUGGGGGGGGGGCGGCUAGGGUUUGAUGUGUGGCUGCAAGUGCUUGAGAAAGGAGGAGAUGGGAGGGG